UCUAAGUUGAUUGCCAAGCCAUACAAUCCAGAAGCUCUGGGGCUCUCCUGGGCCUGCUAAAGAGUUUGCCUUGGAAGAAUCAGACAGCAGGAUGGACUUAGGAGGACAUCUAGUGGCAGAGAGAACAAGAGGAAGGACCCUCAACAAGAAGCUGUCCCAAAGAAGUGUGGAAUGCCUCAACCACCCAGGCCUGUCUUCACAGAGUGCAUAGAAAGGAUGUGAGGACACUCGUGAACCAUGAAGUGCUACACACACGGUUCUGGUCAUUGUCUUACUCAGCACUGUAAAGGCAGUAGUUGCCUUAGGCAGAGCUAGAAUCCUUCCCAAUUUGGCCCUUACUGGUUGAGAGACCUCAGGCAAGGUACUGAACUCUCCAGGUGUCUGUCUCUUUACUAUAGAACAUCAGCUUCUUAAACUCA
rnacentral:lncRNA from 1 species